rnacentral:rRNA from 1 species
AUUGAACGCUGGCGGCAGGCUUAACACAUGCAAGUCGAGCGGUAACAGGGGUAGCUUGCUACCCGCUGACGAGCGGCGGACGGGUGAGUAACGCGUACGAAUCUGCCUAGUAGUGGGGGAUAGCCCAGAGAAAUUUGGAUUAAUACCGCAUACGCCCUACGGGGGAAAGCAGGGGACCUUCGGGCCUUGCGCUAUUAGAUGAGCGUGCGUCGGAUUAGCUAGUUGGUGGGGUAAUGGCCUACCAAGGCGACGAUCCGUAGCUGGUCUGAGAGGAUGAUCAGCCACACUGGGACUGAGACACGGCCCAG